rnacentral:rRNA from 1 species
UCGAUUUGGAGUUUGUUGCCUAGAGUGAUGGGCUCCGAAGCUAACGCGAUAAAUCGACCGCCUGGGGAGUACGGCCGCAAGGUUAAAACUCAAAUGAAUUGACGGGGGCCCGCACAAGCGGUGGAGCAUGUGGUUUAAUUCGAUGCAACGCGAAGAACCUUACCUGGUCUUGACAUCCACAGAAUCUUUCAGAGAUGAGGGAGUGCCUUUGGGAACUGUGAGACAGGUGCUGCAUGGCUGUCGUCAGCUCGUGUUGUGAAAUGUUGGGUUAAGUCCCGCAACGAGCGCAACCCUUAUCCUUUGUUGCCAGCGAUUAGGUCGGGAACUCAAAGGAGACUGCCGUUGAUAAAACGGAGGAAGGUGGGGACGACGUCAAGUCAUCAUGGCCCUUACGACCAGGGCUACACACGUGCUACAAUGGCGUAUACAAAGGGAAGCGAAGGUGCGAGCUGGAGCGGACCUCCUAAAGUACGUCUAAGUCCGGAUUGGAGUCUGCAACUCGACUCCAUGAAGUCGGAAUCGCUAGUAAUCGUGAAUCAGAAUGUCACGGUGAAUACGUUCCCGGGCCU